rnacentral:rRNA from 1 species
AUACGGAGGAUCCGAGCGUUAUCCGGAUUUAUUGGGUUUAAAGGGAGCGUAGGUGGACAGUUAAGUCAGUUGUGAAAGUUUGCGGCUCAACCGUAAAAUUGCAGUUGAUACUGGCUGUCUUGAGUACGGUAGAGGUGGGCGGAAUUCGUGGUGUAGCGGUGAAAUGCUUAGAUAUUACGAAGAACUCCGAUUGCGAAGGCAGCUCACUGGACCGCAACUGUCACUGAUGCUCGAAAGUGUGGGUAUCAAACAGGAUUAGAUACCCUGGUAGUCCACACAGUAAACGAUGAAUACUCGCUGUUUGCGAUAUACAGUAAGCGGCCAAGCGAAAGCAUUAAGUAUUCCACCUGGGGAGUACGCCGGCAACGGUGAAACUCAAAGGAAUUGACGGGG